CCCUACUUGUUAGUUGUCCAUCAUUCAGUUGGGCGACUCUAGCGAGACUGCCGGUAAUAAACCGGAGGAAGGUGGGGAUGACGUCAAAUCAUCAUGCCCCUUAUGACCUGGGCUACACACGUGCUACAAUGGUUGGUACAAUGAGUUGCGAGUCGGUGACGGCGAGCUAAUCUCUUAAAGCCAAUCUCAGUUCGGAUUGUAGGCUGCAACUCGCCUACAUGAAGUCGGAAUCGCUAGUAAUCGCGGAUCAGCACGCCGCGGUGAAUACGUUCCCGGGCCUU
rnacentral:rRNA from 1 species